rnacentral:misc_RNA from 1 species
GAAGGAGCUGAUCUAAUUGAUCUUGGAUUUAAUCAGUGAAACUCCUAGAACUUAUUGCUGAAUCAUGUGAAAUGAAAAAUAAUUUUUCUUUAUUCAGCACCAAUAUUCCUAGUUCUCAAUUUGAGUACAAAAAAUAGUGUAUUUCGACUUGUCUGUAUUUCAAACAUAGUGUGCACAUAUCUUUGCUUUCCAUUUACUCGAGAAUGAAGGUCAGAAGGUUAUUGUUUUUUGGUGUUCAUCUGUAUCACAUGCUUUGUCAAAAAUUUGAU